GACGAACGCUGGCGGCGUGCUUAACACAUGCAAGUCGAACGAUGAACCCGGAGCUUGCUCCGGCGGAUUAGUGGCGAACGGGUGAGUAACACGUGAGUAACCUGCCCUUGACUCUGGGAUAACUGCGGGAAACUGUAGCUAAUACCGGAUACGACCCUCGGCGGCAUCGCCAGGGGGUGGAAAGAAUUUCGGUCAAGGAUGGACUAGCGGCCUAUCAGUUAGUUGGUGAGGUAACGGCUCACCAAGGCGACGACGGGUAGCCGGCCUGAGAGAGUGACCAGCCACUCUGGGACUGAGACGCGACCCAGACUCCUACGGGAGUGAGCAGUGGGUAAUAGUGCACAAUUGGCGCAAAACUGAUGCAGCAACGCCGCGUGAGGGAUGACGGCCUUCGGGUUGUAAACCUCUUUUAGUAUGGAAGAAGCGAAAGUGACGGUACCUGCAGAAAAAGCACCAGCUAACUACGUGCCAGCCGCCGCAGUAA
rnacentral:rRNA from 1 species